UGGAAGUAAAAGUCGUAACAAGGUUUCCGUAGGUGAACCUGCGGAAGGAUCAUUACCGAGUGAGGGCCCUCUGGGUCCAACCUCCCACCCGUGUUUAUUUUACCUUGUUGCUUCGGCGGGCCCGCCUUAACUGGCCGCCGGGGGGCUUACGCCCCCGGGCCCGCGCCCGCCGAAGACACCCUCGAACUCUGUCUGAAGAUUGUAGUCUGAGUGAAAAUAUAAAUUAUUUAAAACUUUCAACAACGGAUCUCUUGGUUCCGGCAUCGAUGAAGAACGCAGCGAAAUGCGAUACGUAAUGUGAAUUGCAAAUUCAGUGAAUCAUCGAGUCUUUGAACGCACAUUGCGCCCCCUGGUAUUCCGGGGGGCAUGCCUGUCCGAGCGUCAUUGCUGCCCUCAAGCACGGCUUGUGUGUUGGGCCCCGUCCUCCGAUCCCGGGGGACGGGCCCGAAAGGCAGCGGCGGCACCGCGUCCGGUCCUCGAGCGUAUGGGGCUUUGUCACCCGCUCUGUAGGCCCGGCCGGCGCUUGCCGAUCAACCCAAAUUUUUAUCCAGGUUGACCUCGGAUCAGGUAGGGAUACCCGCUGAACUUAAGCAUAUCAAUAAGCGGAGGAAC
rnacentral:rRNA from 1 species